rnacentral:lncRNA from 1 species
UUCUUUGAUAUAUGCUAUCUUCACAAUCAAACCUAUACAUGACAUGGUUCUUUUCUUUUCGUAGUUUAGUACUUGGGAGCUUACUCAAGGGCCUUCUGCUCCUUGAUGUAUUUUGUGAUGGCCUCAGCAAUAGCAGCUAAACCACUGGUACUGGGAACAGGCGGGUUGCUUGCAUGCUCGUGAUCAACUUCAUAUUCAAUUGUUGAUCUUAUUAUAGAUGUUUUCUCUCCUUUUCCUAUAAUCUUAAUUCGUACCAAGUAUUUCUGAAAUCCAUGGUCUAGAAAACCUCCUUUAGUUACUAGUGCUUCCUUGAUGUAGUUUUCAUUAUCGACCUUGAUGAACUUUUCUUCCAUAGUUUCUGAUCCUGGAGUUCCUAAAAAAUGAUUCACAAAAAACAAAAUUAGUUGGAGCUGAGAUCACAUUACCUCACGGAAGCUUAUUUGUUCAGGUUCUAACCUGGAGGAAAGGUGACAAGCAAGACUGUUCCAACUCCACCAUCUCCCUCUACAAGCUCAACCUUGGAGAACACUUCAGGAAGCAAUUUGGGGAUCAAAUUCCCAACAAGGAGGC